rnacentral:pre_miRNA from 1 species
AGAGAAAUAGCUGGGUCAAAUGGUGGUUCCAACCCAGUUUUCCAAGGAAUCUCCAUACUGCUUUCCAAAUUGGCUGCACCAAUUUGCAGUCCCACCAGCAAU